rnacentral:lncRNA from 1 species
AAUAAGCUUGUACAAAUAAAACAAUUGUUUUACAACAAAAGAGAAGGUCAUAAUGAUUUGAAAUAGAUUAUCAUUUAUAUAGUCUUAAUGAUGUCCAGAUAAACCCCCCGACCUGGGAAGUAUUUCAACCUCACUUGAUCAGCAAAUGGGAAGCUUGAAAAAGCGGCUUUUCACUCCUUUCCAACCAAUUGAGUGGCUUUCGUUCCUUCUUCCUUAAAAUAAAACAAAAUAGAUGCUAUAACUACAGGUAAAAGUCGCAUGGGUCUUGUGUGAUGGAGAAAAAAUGACCAGAAACAAAACAUAGACCCAAUUCAAUGGAGGAUGGGGAGUAUGGCUAAGAUUCCAAAUCUUAAGAGAUUGAAAGAGUGUAGGGGACAUAUUCUACAUCUUAAUAGCCCCGUGCUUUAUUAGCGCAGUGUUAGAGAAGGGAGGACCGAACAAUAUGACAGGGCAAGAGCUCCGCGACGCUUAGUUAGGAAGGCGCGUGCUAAGGCGCGCGUAAGCAUCAAAGCCCAUAGCGCGAUAGGAAAGAAUCAACGUCUGGGCGGCGGGGAAGAUAGUUCAUAUGAUUUUUCCAAAGAAUGAUUCUCCAAUCGUACAUAAUACAAUACAAAACCUAUUUUUCGACGCGGGAAGACGGUGGAGAAAUAAUAACAGCAGGCAUUGAGAGGACACAUGCUAAAUGGUCUACCUACUUCAUUACUUGAUAAAUUAAUUUAUCUUUUAAAUCUCCAACUUCUCAAUUUUUGAAAUAUUAAUAAAGUAAUAUUAUUUUAUUUGGGAACAAUUAUAUAUUGAUAAAACACAAGGUCAUAAUGAUUUUAAAUAGAUAAUUAUUUAAAUAGUCAUAACUAUUUGAACUUAUUUAGUAAACAAAAUUAUUUUUUAAAAUUUCUUGCUUAUUAAUUUUAUGAAUGUUAAUAAAAUAGUAUUAUUUUAUUUUGAAUAAGCAUGUAUGAACUAAAACAAUUAUUUUAUGACUAAACA